UGGGGAAUUUUGGACAAUGGGCGAAAGCCUGAUCCAGCAAUGCCGCGUGUGUGAAGAAGGCCUUCGGGUUGUAAAGCACUUUUGUCCGGAAAGAAAUCCUUGGCUCUAAUACAGUCGGGGGAUGACGGUACCGGAAGAAUAAGCACCGGCUAACUACGUGCCAGCAGCCGCGGUAAUACGUAGGGUGCAAGCGUUAAUCGGAAUUACUGGGCGUAAAGCGUGCGCAGGCGGUUUGCUAAGACCGAUGUGAAAUCCCCGGGCUCAACCUGGGAACUGCAUUGGUGACUGGCAGGCUAGAGUAUGGCAGAGGGGGGUAGAAUUCCACGUGUAGCAGUGAAAUGCGUAGAGAUGUGGAGGAAUACCGAUGGCGAAGGCAGCCCCUGGGCAAUACUGACGCUCAUGCACGAAAGCGUGGGGAGCAAACAGGAUUAGAUACCCUGGUAGUCCACGCCCUAAACGAUGUCAACUAGUUGUUGGGGAUUCAUUUCCUUAGUAACGUAGCUAACGCGUGAAGUUGACCGCCUGGGGAGUACGGUCGCAAGAUUAAAACUCAAAUGAAUUGACGGGGUCAUAGCUG
rnacentral:rRNA from 1 species